rnacentral:misc_RNA from 1 species
GAUGAAGAACGUAGCGAAAUGCGAUACUUGGUGUGAAUUGCAGAAUCCCGUGAACCAUCGAGUCUUUGAACGCAAGUUGCGCCCGAAGCCAUUAGGCCGAGGGCACGCCUGCCUGGGCGUCACACGUCGUUGCCCCCCCAUCUACUCCUUCGGGAUUGCGGGGGGCGGAUGAUGGCCUCCCGUGCGCCUCGCCGCGCGGUUGGCAUAAAUGCCAAGUCCUCGGCGACGCACGCCACGACAAUCGGUGGUUGCGAAACCUCGGUUGCCCGUCGUGUGCGGUCGUCGCGCAUCGAGGGCUCGAAAAAAUUGCCGGGUUCCGGCUCGGCUUUCAACGCGACCCCAGGUCAGGCGGGGUUACCCGCUGAAUUUAAGCAUAUCAAUAAGCGGAGA